GACGAACGCUGGCGGCGUGCUUAACACAUGCAAGUCGAACGGUGAAGCGCCUUCCUUUUUGGUGGGUGUGGAUGAGUGGCGAACGGGUGAGUAACACGUGAGUAACCUGCCCCCUUCUUCUGGAUAACCGCAUGAAAGUGUGGCUAAUACGGGAUAUUCUGGGUCUGUCGCAUGAUGGGUCUGGGAAAGAUAUUGUUUCGGUGGGGGAUGGGCUCGCGGCCUAUCAGCUUGUUGGUGGGGUGAUGGCCUACCAAGGCGGUGACGGGUAGCCGGCCUGAGAGGGUGGACGGUCACACUGGGACUGAGACACGGCCCAGACUCCUACGGGAGGCAGCAGUGGGGAAUAUUGCACAAUGGGCGCAAGCCUGAUGCAGCGACGCCGCGUGAGGGAUGGAGGCCUUCGGGUCGUGAACCUCUUUCGCCAGUGAAGCAGGCCUGCCUCGUUUGUGGGUGGGUUGACGGUAGCUGGAUAAGAAGCGCCGGCUAACUACGU
rnacentral:rRNA from 1 species